GCUUUGAUAGUGAUUUCAGUUUCCAAUAAUCUUUAUUCCAUGUCGAUCAUAUUUUAUCUGAUUAAUUAGAUUGAUUAAUGAGAAUGUUUAAGAGAGAAAAUUAUUUUACGUGAAAAGGUCAGAAAGAGUUAAAUCAUUUUAAAACAGAAAAGUGAAAGUGUAUUGAUAAAAGGUAGAAAGUUGCGAAAAAAAUUGAGAAAUUCGAUUGCGAUGAACUCAAUUGCAUAAGCCUUGAAGAAGAUCAACACUUAGAUUAACUAACAGAAUCUAUUCUUUCCUUGAAAUUGGAAAAAAUCACUAAUCAAGUAACAGUUUUAAUUUGUGUUAAGGAGCCAAAUUAUCCAUUUCAUAUGAUCAACAAUCAAGGUAAUCAAGUGAAGGGAAAAGUUAGAAGCUGAAAAGGAAUCAUUGAAAAAAAAAAUUCUCUGACAUCUUGGACAAAACAAGGUUAUUAACAAUUAUUAGAUCAAUAAUAAUGGCAAUGGAUAGAUCGUCGAACCCCAUUUACCUUCACCUUACUAUUUUUAUCCGAAAUUUGAUGGCCCAGAAACAGAUUAAUAAUCGCAGUUACAUUGACCAAGGAUGAUGAAGCGUAUACAAAAUAAUCAAAGCCAACAGAUUAACGAAAGUUUCAAUUGUAAAUCGACUACAGGAGUUGUUUAACUGCAAUGCUUUUUCAUUUGGACAAUGAAAUGGAAUACAAAAUGGGAAAAAUUUGACCCUCUGGAGAAAGUUCAAUGUAAUUUGAUUUAAUUGGCGAGACAUGGAUUAAGUGAAGCAUACAAGUUUAUACGAUGAAAAGUUUGCCCUCUCUGUGAAGUUAAUUAAUUUGAUGAACGAACGAUAAAUAGCCCCUGAUUAAGGCAAAAAAACAUCAAGGUUGUCGUCCUUUUUAAACAGAGGUUAUUGCAAGUUAAAAGCAAAAUACCUUUACCUAUAGUUUAUUCAGUGGUAUGUAGGGAUGAAAAAGUAAAAACAUCAGAUAAGUAUUGAGUUACGGUUAAUGAUGUUCACAGGUUCAAUACUUGAUCAAGAACGAUUAACCGAUAAAUCAAAUUGUAAUGCGAGUUUGGAGAAAGGACAGAUGAUCCAUGAUAACGAACUCAAAUGUAAUUAUAAUUUACGAACUAAAAUUGGCCAUUAGUUAGCGUAAAGCCUUAGUUAAUUUUUACUAUGUAAAGCGUAUUUGUUUUUAAAAAAUUUUAAGAAUCAAAUUCAUUGAUUACAUUGGAAGGUUAAUUGUUGCUCUAUGAUUGUAAUUUAUAUUGAAUACAUAAUAAGAGGCUAUCAAAAUAAGUAAAUGUUACAUGGACAUUGGAAGAGAUAUAAGAUAGGAAGACAGUCUAAUGAUCAGAAUGAUCAGAUUGUGAAAUGAAGAAAAGUGAAAGUGACCAAAAUGGCUGAAGGUAUAGAGAGAGGAUAAAGAAAGAAAGUAAAAAAGAUUCAAGGAACCGGUUUCUGUGUUCUCAUCACUUUCACUGAAAAUCAUCACCAACACGAUCUCUUACUCUCUCUUUCUCCUGAUUAUCUUCUUUCGUUUCAACCAAGACCUGCAACGGCAACAUCUUUCACCUUAUACAGUCUCUUAACCAACAUGUUUAUUGGAUAUUUGGAUUCAACCUGUUGUAAGAGGUUAUGUCCGCCAUAUUUUAGUCUCGAGAUGAUUCAUUUCAUUCCAGAUCAAUAUCAUAACAAAGAGUUACAUCUAUUGAACUUAUAACACUGGACACACCAUCGGAAUAUUUUGGUUAGUCUGUAUUCUGGUUUGGUAGGAUUGAUAACCGAUAGCAGAGAUUAUACGAAUGAUGGAAAAAGUUCAAUGUAUAUGUUUAUGAGCCAUUAAUAGUACUGUUAAGAUAUGGAUGACAACGAGUUUUUUUAUAAACGACUACCUUGAUUGGCUUUUGUGUCUGAAUUUCGAAUUGAUUUUAUAUUAUUUUUCCUCAACAUUUCCUGUCUUUUGCUUAUUCUAUUAUCCCUCCAAUUAGAUUAAGAUUUAAUUCUCUUCUAUUUACCUUAUCUAAUUCUGCUUUACAUUUUUCUCAUCUAACAGGGUCAAGGUUAUCAUACCGAAGCUGAGCAUUCAUGAGUGAUCGAAUUAUCGUUGCCUUCACAAGUUCAUUUGAUUUCUAUUCUUGACCCAUUUUGUUUAUCCUCUUUGACCGUCGCGUAAUCGUUACUUUUUGUUCAUAGUCUGGAAUACUGUAUUCUCAAAUGAAAAGUGAUUCAAUAGGUCCUAAUCUCACAAUCAGGGAACUAUACUGAUGCAUAAGUGGGAAUAUUUUGGAUUUGUGUUUACAAAUGCAUCCACGUAUUUAGAUUCAAUUCACCAAUUGAACAUUUAAAAAUACAUGUGCCUUAUGGAAAUUUGAUUGUUCGCAAUUCUUUACAAUAUGGAUGUUGAUGGUGCUUAUAUUUUCCUUGAUGCUAUAUUUCCUGUAUUUAUUCACAAUCAUCUUCCGCAUGAAAAAGUUAAAAUUUAAUAAAUCAAGAUGGAGUGAUUUCUUCCAUUCUCAAUCAUAACUUCAAUAAAGAUUUAUUAAAAUAAAUAUUUUAAUUUUUUA